rnacentral:rRNA from 1 species
GACGAACCGUGCGAACGUUAUUCGGAAUCACUGGGCUUAAAGCGCGUGUAGGCGGGCGGGAACGUCGGUUGCUGAAAGCCCCCGGCUCAACCGGGGAACGGGCGCCGAAACGACCCGCCUCGAGGGACGUAGGGGGACCUGGAACUUCCGGUGGAGCGGUGAAAUGCGUUGAGAUCGGAAAGAACACCAACGGCGAAAGCACUCUGCUGGGCCGACACUGACACUGAGAGACGAAAGCUAGGGGAGCGAAUGGG